CAAAGGAAUGACGUAAGAAUGAAUUUAAACUGAGCAGAGAGUGUAUUUAGGAUUCAUUCACAAAGAAGUAAAUAACAAAGCAAGGAAUGGAGUGUGAAUACCAGAGUGUGCAUUGAGAAGCAAAACUGAGAAAAGCUGAUCCAGACCUCUGUGAGACUGAAGAUUUGGAAUCCCUGGGAGAGAAAACGGCCACACUAAUCCGGAGCUGGUGGAGUUCACACCAAAGAGCUCUGGAUAAGCGAGGCUGAGCUACGGAUACACAGCCGCCACCCAAUAUGAGAAACGGGGUUAAAUAUCCCAGAACACGGAGAGCAAGGGGCGAUGAGAGCCCGAUGAGAGCCGAGACCCCCAGGUGAGAGUCGGGAACGGGAACCCCGCGUUCAGCCUUUCUGCACACACCUGUUGAGCAUGCGUUCCAGACCCCGGGCAGAGGGCCAGGUGGGACUCCCAUUGGAGGACGAGGCCUCGGGGUUCCGCUCUUCAACUUCUGCUGCGGACAGCCUUACAGAGGAUGAGUAGAGGAAGAGCAAGAAGAGGAGGCAAAGGAAAGCCCUAGAGUCUUAGCCUUCCCUAAAGACUGCUAUCAUUUUAUUUAUAAAAACGGGGAGAGGAAGCGUAUCCAAUAAACAACUCUGGAAUGAAUAAAGGCGCAAGAGGACAGAGUGAGACAAGCACUAUGGUGAGCCAUGCCCCCCGCUUUGCACACCUGUGAACUCUCAAGCGAGCCGCUGCCCCGCCAACCACCUCCUUCCCGGCAGAACAGAGGCCACGCCCACUAUGAGAAGGGGCUGCAGCCGCCAGCCGCGAAGACCACAGCUCUGGGGGAACGUUGACGUCACCAUUUUGGCCACAGAUGCAUUGUUUCGCUUCCUUUCUCUGAAGAGUGUGUGUCUCAUUAGCGACCAGGUAACCCUAUAUGCCCGUGUACUCACACUCGGUCCAGAACUAGCUUUGGCUGUCACUGGUUCAAUACCAGCCAGGGGCCGUGUUAAUACCAACAAAGGGGACCUCACAAUCACUGCGCCGCCAUCUGUUUCAAGAUAACAAAACUGUGGUUUCUUUUCUGCUCCAAAGAAGUAUUAAAAUUAAUCCAGGAAAAACGAAAGGAAUGAAAAGACAGAUUCCUGUCUCUGGUCCUCAUCAGCUUUGGAGAAGCUCAGCCCCAGCAGUCCCUCUCUGUGACCCCCGGACAAGUACUCUUUUCCUAGGCCCUUCCCUAUCCUGUCUGUUUUCACAGGAAGCUGUUCUCCUGGGACAUGGUGCUGGCUUCCUCUGAGCAAGGAAAGCUCAGUCCCUUCUCCCAUAGGCAGUUAACUAAAAUCAGCAGCUGCUGCUGCUGCUUCCUCCUCCUCUUCCUCCUCCU